GUCGUUCCUCCUGUGCCGCAAAGUUCGGGAAACCGGACGCUGUAUUUCGUAUGACUUCCUCCAUUUUGUCCACGCUAUUUACGGUAUUGACUUCCCCCCCCGUAAAAGGCGGCAUUGCUACAGCUCGUGUAAAGUACAAACGGAUGUCUUCCGAGAGCAGGUGACCGUGACGGACACGCUAGCUCGCUUCCCUCUCCGUCAACACUCCGUCAUCCGCGGAGCUCUCAACAGCACGAGAACGGAUUGUCGGGAUUUCUGUACUACGCGUGGGUUCAAGAACAUCAAGCAUGCGGGUGAGCCUUUUUGUUUGUUUGUUUUUCCAACAAAACAAAGAGACAAUAACCUCGGUCCUUUAUUUUGUGCGCAGUGACGAUUCACUUGAGAGGAAAUCGGCGGGCAGAGAUGACCUACAUGGUGAGUGAAGAAGAAGGGAAAACGGCGGCACAGCACAGUAGGUUUCUAUUUCUGGUUUGUGUAUGCAUGCACACAUUAGCGCUUCCUGCGCCCCUCCCCUACGCAUCCUCAACAGCCUUCGCUCUCACAUGAUGCCGCGGCCAUGUUAGACUUCUGUGUGUCUCUCCCAUCAUGCAUCUGUUUGUCCUGUCCCCCCCUAGCCCUCCCCCAUGGCGCUCACUGUGGACAUGUGACACUUUCCUCAAAAUAGCCCGUCUGCUCCUCCGCCCCUUUCGCACGAAUGUGAUAAGGUGCAGGCAUUGGGCGGCAAGAUACGCAUAUGAAUGAAUGAAUCGUGAUAGAUGAUCUUAGAGGGCGGGUGCAAAAAGGUGAUCAGUUAGGGGGAAUGAGGAACAUUCUUAAAUAACGAUUCCCUUAAAAUGUAUCGCAACUCAAGUUUAUAUCAAAGCAAGUCUUAAAGGCACAAAUGUGUUGAACUUCAAAGUUAAAUACAACUGAAUUGUACUGUACUUGAGCUGUUAUGCUUUCCCGAGGGGUCGCCUACAUUUGGCCUGUCAAUCACUUGCCAUACUGAUUUGAUGGGGGCGGGUUCAGAGAUUCGGUCCAGACUGAUUGAUGAAUUUAAAAUGCGUCACCCAUGGGCUUUCGUGUCUUUUGCGAAGCGGAAAUAGUUAAUUUGUCUGAAGACUGCAAAAUCACAUUGACAUUAAAAAUAUCUAGUGUGAUAUCAUUACUUUUUUUUUUUUUUUGGUGGCUAUAAACAGCAUGUUUGCGUGCACCUGUCGGAGAUAAAGCACAAGCAGUCUUUGAUCCCGGAUGAGACGAAGCGGCUAAAAUUAUUCCUCUCUGAUUUCCAGAUGACACAACACAAGACGGGCCGAUAAGAGACCCUCCUCAUCCUGCCGACGGGCCGCCUUUGGCGCAGCCUGCGCGCUAAUCGACGUUCGCCCUCUGCUGUUAUGUAAGGAGCUCAUCCCGGCCGCGACCUGCGAAUGAAAAAGUGCAAACUGCUGCAAGAUUUUCCCGCAGUUAUCCCCGGCGGUGUCUCGGCAGCAGUACGACGGCCGUCGUGCCACAAAUGAAAUCAAGGUUACUGUUCCAUCAGUUCUUUUCGUACGUGUUUGUCGGCGAUGGGUUUGGUCACGAGGGAGACGCCGAGGAUGACGAUGCAGGAGACCACAAAGAGGAUGAUGGCAAAGUAGAGGUAGUGAACGCCGCAUAUGAUGGUGGGACAGUUACUGGGCUCCACGCAGCUGCCUGUGCCGUAAGCAAACUCUGCAAUCAUCCUGGAUAAGCCGACGAGGAGGCCGAACAUGAGCCCAUAAAAGGCACCCUGUAAAAGAAAGAAGUUGGAACACACACACCCCAUCCCACCUCUUAAAAAGGGGAGACCCACCACCUCGGUAAGUAUUCCGCCACAACUACACUACGACACUCAUAUAUUUUAACCCUUUCACUUGUCCACUGUAGUAACCGCUGUCCCUGAAAGGUUUAAUGAUGGCGAUUAUGUCAUACUUGAAGAGUCAAAUAUUUUUGGGUGAUUCCCGGUGUAUGCCGCAAAAGGCUUCACAGCAACCGGCGGAGCUCAAAUUAAAACGGCAAAUUUGCCAACGUCGCCCCAUUACACAACGCCGAACUAAAAGCCGUCACAAAAAGACCUUUGCACAGUCAUUCUUGAACACGAUAAACGGAGCAGAGUUCAUCUCGCCGUUUAUACAAGCCUCCGGUAAACGACAUGAAAAGAACCACCGAACGGAAGGAACUCACGGAUUCAUUGACUCGUUUGCAGAAGAUGGCCAGAAUGAAAACGGCGGUGACGGGCGGUGCCAGAUAGCUGGUGAUGGACUGGAUAUAAUCAAAGAGUUGACCGCUCUGGGCCGACUGCACCACCGGGAUCCACGCGAUGCUCACGCCAAUCAGCGCC